UACGGAGGGUGCAAGCGUUAUCCGGUUUCACUGGGUUUAAAGGGUGCGUAGGUGGGCUAGUAAGUCCGUGGUGAAAUCUCUGAGCUUAACUCGGAAACUGCCGUGGAUACUAUUAGUCUUGAAUCUCGUGGAGGUAAGCGGAAUAUGUCAUGUAGCGGUGAAAUGCUUAGAUAUGACAUAGAACACCGAUAGCGAAGGCAGCUUGCUACACGAGUAUUGACACUGAGGCACGAAAGCGUGGGGAUCAAACAGG
rnacentral:rRNA from 1 species